AAUAGCUCUAACUGGUGUAAAUAAAACUUUAAUAAAUGUUUUCUAUGUAAAUUUAAUUUAAAAAUAUCAGGGUAAUGCGUUCUUCAACGCGUCGUUUGAAAACUACUAAAAGUACUUAUAGACACAAAGUUAAUAAGAGACAUUAUAAAUCUAACAGCUCUUUGGGAUGUACGCAAUGUGUUUCAAUUUUGGACAUUGAAAACAUUAAUGAAGUUCUUCGUGUUCACAAAAGUCAAAGAGCUGAGGGCAAAGGUGCCUGGAAAGUUGUCCCUAAAGACUCUUGCGAAGUAUAUAAAGAUCGUCGAAAGCGCCAGGCCGAGAACCGCCGUGAAGAUGACGAAACCAUGCGUACGACAGAUAGCGACCGGACACCUUCCCGAAACAAAAAGAAUCAAAAGCGUAAUGAUGAUAAAAAGUACAGAAAAGAUGCAGUUCGCAAGACGAGGAGAAGACGAAAAACAACACGCAGACGGGAACCCAAUUCUUCUGUUUCAUCAUUUACUACAACCACAUCCUACAUGAGCUCAUCAGAAAUGGAUUAUGACUAAAAAUAAAGUUAUUUUAAUAUUA